AUACGGAGGGUGCAAGCGUUACUCGGAAUCACUGGGCGUAAAGCGCGCGCAGGCGGUCUUUUAAGUUGGAUGUGAAAGCCUACGGCUCAACCGUAGAACUGCAUCCAAAACUAUUAGACUAGAGUGUGGGAGAGGAAGAUGGAAUUAGUUGUGUAGGGGUAAAAUCCGUAGAGAUAACUAGGAAUACCAAAAGCGAAGGCAAUCUUCUGGAACACUACUGACGCUGAGGCGCGAAAGCGUGGGGAGCAAACAGGAUUUGAAACCCCAGUAGUCC
rnacentral:rRNA from 1 species